CCUCUUCAAUUUUGUGAUAUAUCAUUCUCAUGCAUCACAUCAAAUCAAGGAAACAAUUGAAACAAAGUGUACACCUUUUCUUCAACAUGUAUAUCGUGUUAUCCAUGGUAGCAAACCUGACCUAAACAGCACUCAUAGUUAAUUGGAAUAUGAAACAGAGACCAUGCACCAAUAAAAGUCUGGUGAAUAAGACAAGAUUGCAUGCCUGCUCAUCACAUGGAUAGAUGUGUUCCAAACCUAGUAGAUCGUAAUCAAUGAUCUCUCUUAACUGGUUCUGUGGCUGGCACCUGGGAACUUGUGGCCUUAAAUUAGCAUAGUCAAGCUGCAAUUGUUAUAGUGUUCACCUCCAAAAGAAUGAAAAGACACCAGUGGAAGCUGCUGCAGAACUUUCUUGGUAACUAACCUUUAGUCAACCCUGGUCUCGAAGAUUCCGCAGCUGACACCUCCAAGAGUAAAACAAACCUAUUUGUGUGAUCCAAUGGACAGAAGGAUCUGUGCAGUUUUGCUUCUUCCUAUACUUUUGAGCCAAGGUGAUAAAAGUGUGAUGGAAUCUCUGCAUGCUUACACAUCUUAUUGGUACAGGGUCUUCUUUUCUGUUUCUGUGAAGUAUUGUUGCAUGUUCACCAUUUAUAAGAAAGCUCCUCUCCAAUCAUGUUUGUCAAUGGCUGUAGAUCUAUUGAUCAAAGCAUGUUUAGUAAAUUGUUCUACUUGCAAUGCACAUAGCUCAACUAGGUUCUCAAACAAAUAGAUGGUAAACAUAAUUAGGAUACCUAGAGCAGUACAUAAUUGUAGAGGAAUCCCCUUCACUUCAGUUGAUAUUGGAGACCUUUAGCGGUCUCCCUUAUCCCUUUCCAAGCCCAUUUGCAUUCAGCUUGUUCCAUGGAAGAAGCCUGAAAGACAGCAGCAAGCAGCCCCUGCUACACUUACUGUAAUAUCUGAUGACACAGCCAGCCCCUGCAACUCCUACACAGCAGAUGAAGACUGAAGGGAGACACAGCCAGGCUGACAGUUAAGAAAUGCUCAUUAGCCGAAAAAUGAUGAAACUUACCAACACCAGAAGGGAAUUACUGCAAGCUGAGGUGAUUUGCAAAGCCUUGUUUAGCUCUUUGGAAAGAGGUUCCUGAGUUAAGAUGAACCUAUUUCUCAGGAUUAUCUCGGUGGUUGAUGGUUCACAUAAUGAUCAUUAAUCUACUUGCUAAACUAAAUUAACAACUGCAAUUAUUUACAAUAGGAAACUGCAAGAAACUAUAAGUAUUAUUUAUCAGUGUUCAUCGGGGAGUUUUGUGAUGCGAAUACACCUUCAGCAACAGGGUAGAUUAAACAAAAAACUAAGGAAUUUUUUUUCUACAAACAACAUGAAAUAUGUUAUAACAAUAUGAAAGCGAAGUGCCCUGUUAGAUAUGGUUU
rnacentral:lncRNA from 1 species